rfam:Cucumis sativus cultivar 9930 chromosome 1, whole genome shotgun sequence.
AUACUUACCUGGACGGGGUCAAUGGACGAUCAGGAAGAUCCAUGGCCUAGGUUGGUGACCUCCAUUGCACAUACCGGAGGGGUGCCCGCCUAAGGUCUGCCCAAAGUGGCAGAGCCUACGUCAUAAUUUGUGGUAGUGGGGGCCUGCGUUCGCGCGGCCCCUUU